UCAAUUCAAUUCACCUUCAUUUAUAUAGUAGCAAAUUACAACAAAAUUUCCUCAAGGCGCUUCACACAAGUAAGGUCUAACCUUACCAACCCCCAAAGCAAGCACACAGGUGACAGUAGGGUGGUAAAAUUCUUCCUCUGAGGCAGAAACCG